rnacentral:lncRNA from 1 species
UCUUGGCUUUUUGCUCCUUAUUUGUUCAACCCAUGCCCAUCUGGGUUUGAGUGGCAGAAGUAAGUGUCUUAAGAGGAUUCCUAUCAUUUUAAGGGUUUCAAAAGAAUCCCAUUUUGGGCAGUUUGGUAAUCAAAUCUGGGAGUUAACACUGAGUACUAAUGGAAUUGAUAUAUUUGUCUUAAGCUGAAAGAUUGGUGGGCAUUUGGGUGGAGUUUGCUUAGUCUACGUUACGUGAAAUUAGAAGAACUUUUUGUUUCUGGGGAGCGCAAAUGUUUCCAAAGAUUGAUUGGAAUACUAUUGCAGUUGAGAUUAUUGAUUUGCUAGCUUGGAUGAAGUGA